CGCGUAGGCGGACUGGCAAGUCAGAUGUGAAAUACAGGGGCUCAACCCCUGAACUGCAUUUGAAACUGUUGGUCUUGAGUAUCGGAGAGGCAAGCGGAAUUCCUAGUGUAGCGGUGAAAUGCGUAGAUAUUAGGAGGAACACCAGUGGCGAAGGCGGCUUGCUGGACGACAACUGACGCUGAGGCGCGAAAGCGUGGGGAGCAAACA
rnacentral:rRNA from 1 species